GAGUUUGAUCAUGGCUCAGAACGUACGCUGGCGGCACGCCUAACACAUGCAAGUCGAACGAAGUAGCAAUACUUAGUGGCAGACGGGUGAGUAACAUGUGGGUAUCUGCCCUUUGGCCUGGAAUAACACGAGGAAACUUGUGCUAAUACCGGAUAAGUCUUUACGGAGAAAGCUUUAUGCACCAUUGGAUGAGCCCGCACUUGAUUAGUUUGUUGGUAGGGUAAUGGCCUACCAAGACUAUGAUCAAUAGCUGAUUUGAGAGGAUGAUCAGCCACAUUGGGACUGAGACACGGCCCAAACUCCUACGGGAGGCAGCAGUGGGGAAUCUUGCACAAUGGAGGAAACUCUGAUGCAGCGAUGCCGCGUGAGUGAAGAAGGCCCUUGGGUUGUAAAGCUCUUUCGUCGGGGAAGAAAAUGACUGUACCCGAAUAAGAAGGUCCGGCUAACUUCGUGCCAGCAGCCGCGGUAAUACGAAGGGACCUAGCGUAGUUCGGAAUUACUGGGCUUAAAGAGUUCGUAGGUGGUUGAAAAAGUUGGUGGUGAAAUCCCAGAGCUUAACUCUGGAACUGCCAUCAAAACUUUUCAGCUAGAGUAUGAUAGAGGAAAGCAGAAUUUCUAGUGUAGAGGUGAAAUUCGUAGAUAUUAGAAAGAAUACCAAUUGCGAAGGCAGCUUUCUGGAUCAUUACUGACACUGAGGAACGAAAGCAUGGGUAGCGAAGAGGAUUAGAUACCCUCGUAGUCCAUGCCGUAAACGAUGUGUGUUAGACGUUGGAAAUUUAUUUUCAGUGUCGCAGCGAAAGCGAUAAACACACCGCCUGGGGAGUACGACCGCAAGGUUAAAACUCAAAUGAUUUGACGGGGACCCGCACAAGUAGUGGAGCAUGUGGUUUAAUUCGAAGAUACGCGCAGAACCUUACCAACACUUGACAUGUUCGUCGUGACUCUAAGAGAUUAGAGUUUUCGGUUCGGCCGGACGAAACACAGGUGCUGCAUGGCUGUCGUCAGCUCGUGUCGUGAGAUGUUGGGUUAAGUCCCGCAACGAGCGCAACCCUCACUUUUAGUUGCCAUCAUUAAGUUGGGCACUCUGAAAGAACUGCCAGUGAUAAGCUGGAGGAAGGCGGGGAUGACGUCAAGUCCUCAUGGCCCUUACGUGUUGGGCUACACACGUGCUACAAUGGUAUUUACAACAGGAAGCAAAACGGCAACGUUAAGCAAAUCCCGAAAAGAUACCUCAGUUCGGAUUGCACUCUGCAACUCGAGUGCAUGAAGCUGGAAUUACUAGUAAUCGUGGAUCAGCGUGCCACGGUGAAUGCGUUCCCGGGUCUUGUACACACCGCCCGUCACACCAUGGGAGUUGGUUCUACCUUAAGGCAAGGUUUUAAACCCUUGACCACGGUAUAGUCAGCGACUGGGGUGAAGUCGUAACAAGGUAACC
rnacentral:rRNA from 1 species